GAAGGGGGAAGAGGGAGUUGGGAGUGGAGGGUCGGGUCUCCACUGUCCAGGCCGCUGUGGGGAGCGGGGCCACCGCGGUGUGUGAGCGGGCGAGCGGGCGGGGAGACUCAGGGCCGCUGUGGGGAGCGAGGACAGCAGAUUGACGUCCGUCCAUCCGUCCAUCGGUGAGUAUUUUGUCCGCCGCUCCCCAGUGGACACCGGCUCUAAUCUUGGGGAGAGACUUGGGUUAAAUU